AUUGAACGCUGGCGGAAUGCUUUACACAUGCAAGUCGAGCGGCAGCACGGGGGCAACCCUGGUGGCGAGCGGCGAACGGGUGAGUAACACAUCGGAACGUACCCCGUCGUGGGGGAUAACGAGUCGAAAGAUUCGCUAAUACCGCAUACGACCCGGGGGUGAAAGCGGGGGAUCGCAAGACCUCGCGCGACUGGAGCGGCCGAUGGCGGAUUAGCUAGUUGGUGGGGUAAAGGCCCACCAAGGCGACGAUCCGUAGCGGGUCUGAGAGGACGGCCCGCCACACUGGGACUGAGACACGGCCCAGACUCCUACGGGAGGCAGCAGUGGGGAAUUUUGGGACAAUGGGGGCAACCCUGAUCCAGCCAUUCCGCGUGAGUGAAGAAGGCC
rnacentral:rRNA from 1 species